ACUUUUAAAGGAUAGAAGUCAUCCACUGGC
rnacentral:tRNA from 3 species